UUUCCUCCAAUAGAAACAUUGCAUCGGAAACACAUAUGAUACAUGCAGACAUGCAAUAUACGUAUUCUUGUGUGCUGUUAUCUUGCGUUCGUACGGAUGUGUUUCAUCGCUUCAAUUUUCAAUCUUCAUUGAAAAAAAUCAUCGAGAAAUAUACAGAAUGUCUUGCAAAGAGAAGCCUACAAGCAAAAACAAACACUAUUUAUUGAUGGAAAGGAAAUUAUUCUUACAAAUACUAGAAAAACAUGUAAUAGAAAUAAAAAAAAAGCGACGGCACAACAUUAAAAGAUAAAGACCUUGCAUGGAGUGAAGUAUGUAAAGAAUACAAUCAAUCGGCACUAAUCUCUCAAGAAAGAACUUCAACAAUUGAAAAAAUUGUGGCCAAAUCUAAAGCAGUCGCAGAGAGAUGUAUUAACUAAAGAAAAACAAUCGCGUUUAGCAACUGGUGGAGGACCAGAAGAAACUGAAGCAAAAAUUGAUCCUGAUGUAUUUAAUAUAGCACUACAUCUAAUGGAAAAUGCACCAGUAUUAUUUACAUCAAAUAUGACAGAUUUAGAGAUUGAAGAAAAGCGUGAACUUACAUUUGACAUAGUAUCUACAAAUGAAAAUUUAGAUACAUUAGACCCCACAAACAAUAAUGAAGAUCUUAUAAGUGAUGAGAGCGAC